rnacentral:rRNA from 1 species
GGGGGAAAGGGGGGGAUCGCAAGACCUCUCACUAUUGGAGCGGCCGAUAUCGGAUUAGCUAGUUGGUGAGGUAACGGCUCACCAAGGCGACGAUCCGUAGCUGGUUUGAGAGGACGACCAGCCACACUGGGACUGAGACACGGCCCAGACUCCUACGGGAGGCAGCAGUGGGGAAUUUUGGACAAUGGGGGAAACCCUGAUCCAGCCAUCCCGCGUGUGCGAUGAAGGCCUUCGGGUUGUAAAGCACUUUUGUCAGGGAAGAAAAGUUUGUGGUUAAUACCCA